rnacentral:lncRNA from 1 species
AGUGGGAACAAAAGACGAAGAGGGAGAUUUUUUAGAAAAAUCUUGUUAUUUUAAAGUGGCCCAGAAGUUAGAAGAAAAAGAGCAAGCAGGUGGGGUGGAGACAGUCCCGAAAGAACAGCAAGAAGGCUAGGUGCUUCAAGUGCAAUGAAGUAUGGCACUUUAAGCAGAACUAUCCAGAAGAAGUGCAAGGGAGGAGAAAGAAAAAGCUUGGGUUCCC